rnacentral:rRNA from 1 species
AGAGUUUGAUCCUGGCUCAGGAUGAACGCUGGCGGUGUGCCUUAAGCAUGCAAGUCGAGCGAUAAUCCCACUUCGGUGGGAGGACAGCGGCAGACGGGUGAGUAACGCGUAGGAAUCUACCUUUUAGUGGGGAAUAGCCUCGGGAAACCGGGAAUAAUACCGCAUGUGGUCGCAAGACCAAAGACUUCGGUCGCUAAAAGAGGAGCCUGCGUCCUAUCAGGUAGUUGGUGAGGUAAAAGCUCACCAAGCCUACAACGGGUAGCCGGUGUGAGAGCACGACCGGUCACAAGGUCACUGAGACACGGGACCUACACCUACGGGUGGCAGCAACUGGGAAUAUUGCGCAAUGGGCGAAAGCCUGACGCAGCGACACCGCGUGUGGGAUGAAUGCCUUCGGGUUGUAAACCACUGUGGCAAGGGAAGAAGAGGGCACACUCUAGAAUAAAAAUGCAAAAAUAAGAGAAAAUUUUUGUUUUAAAUUCAAGGUACUUGAAAGCGAUAGUAUUAAAUUAAUACUUGAGCUAGAGAAUGACACAGAAUUUGACCAAAAAAAUCUUUUAGAAUGUAGUCUUUUAUUUUAAAGUGUGCCCUAUGACUGUACCUUGCUAGAAAGCACCUGCUAACUACGUGCCAGAAGCAUCGGUAAUACGUAGGGUGCAAGCGUUAUCCGGAUUUAUUGGGCGUAAAGGGUUCCGUCGGCGGUUUGCCAAGUUUCAUCUUUAAUACUGGGGCUUAACUUCAGAUACAGGGUGGAAUACUGGUAGACUUGAGUCUGUUUGGGGAAACUGGAACUCUCGGUGUAGGGGUGAAAUCCGUAGAUAUCGAGAGGAACGCCGAUCGCGAAAGCAGGUUUCUAAGACAGUACUGACGCUCAUGGACGAAAGCUUGGGUAGCAAAAGGGAUUAGAGACCCCUGUAGUCCAAGCCGUAAACGAUGCUCGCUAGCUGGUCGCUCUUCGGAGUAACUGGCGUAAGCUAACGCGUUAAGCGAGCCGCCUGGGAAGUACGAUCGCAAGAUUAAAACUCAAAGGAAUUGGCGGGGGAGCGUACAACCGGUGGAGCAUGUGGUUUAAUUCGAUACAAAGCGAAAAACCUUACCUAGAUUUGAUAUGUACCUGCAAACCCUGGGAUAACCAGGGCAUCCUUCGAGGGUGGUACACAGGUGAUGCAUGGCUGUCGUCAGCUCGUGUCGUGAGACGUCCGCUUAAGUGCGGUAACGAGCGCAACCCUUAUCGUCAGUUACACGUAUCUGACGAGACUGCCCUUGCCAAGCAAGGGAGGAAGGAGAGGACGACGUCAAGUCAGCACGUCCCUUACAUCUAGGGCAACACACAUCCUACAAUGGGGUCUACAACGGGUAGCAACGAGGUAACUCUGAGCCAAUCCUUAUAAAAGACCCCUCAGUUCAGAUUGAGGGCUGAAACUCGCCCUCAUGAAGUUGGAAUCGGUAGUAAUCGCAUAUCAUCAGGGUGCGGUGAAUACGUUCUCGCUCCUUGCACACACUGCCCGUCAAGCCAGCAAAGUCAGCAGCGCCCGAAGCGGGUGACUGUAACCCUUCUUCGGAUGGGAACAGCCCUUCUACGGUGAGGUUGGCGAUGAGGACUAAGUCGUAACAAGGUAUCCGUACUGGAAGGUGCGGAUG